AGCAAACAGGAUUAGAUACCCUGGUAGUCCACGCCGUAAACGAUGUCGACUUGGAGGUUGUGCCCUUGAGGCGUGGCUUCCGGAGCUAACGCGUUAAGUCGACCGCCUGGGGAGUACGGCCGCAAGGUUAAAACUCAAAUGAAUUGACGGGGGCCCGCACAAGCGGUGGAGCAUGUGGUUUAAUUCGAUGCAACGCGAAGAACCUUACCUGGCCUUGACAUCCACGGAAUUUGGCAGAGAUGCCUUAGUGCCUUCGGGAACCGUGAGACAGGUGCUGCAUGGCUGUCGUCAGCUCGUGUUGUGAAAUGUUGGGUUAAGUCCCGCAACGAGCGCAACCCUUAUCCUUUGUUGCCAGCACGUAAUGGUGGGAACUCAAAGGAGACUGCCGGUGAUAAACCGGAGGAAGGUGGGGAUGACGUCAAGUCAUCAUGGCCCUUACGGCCAGGGCUACACACGUGCUACAAUGGCGCAUACAAAGAGAAGCGACCUCGCGAGAGCAAGCGGACCUCAUAAAGUGCGUCGUAGUCCGGAUCGGAGUCUGCAACUCGACUCCGUGAAGUCGGAAUCGCUAGUAAUCGUAGAUCAGAAUGCUACGGUGAAUACGUUCCCGGGCCUUGUACACACCGCCCGUCACACCAUGGGAGUGGGUUGCAA
rnacentral:rRNA from 1 species